UACGUAGGUGGCAAGCGUUGUCCGGAAUUAUUGGGCGUAAAGAGCUCGUAGGCGGCUUGUUGCGUCGACCGUGAAAACCCGGGGCUCAACUUCGGGCUUGCGGUCGAUACGGGCGGGCUAGAGUUCGGUAGGGGAGACUGGAAUUCCUGGUGUAGCGGUGAAAUGCGCAGAUAUCAGGAGGAACACCGGUGGCGAAGGCGGGUCUCUGGGCCGAUACUGACGCUGAGGAGCGAAAGCGUGGGGAGCGAACAGG
rnacentral:rRNA from 1 species